GAAAUGCGAUAAGUAAUGUGAAUUGCAGAAUUCAGUGAAUCAUCGAAUCUUUGAACGCACCUUGCGCUCCUUGGUAUUCCGAGGAGCAUGCCUGUUUGAGUGUCAUUAAAUUCUCAACCAUCCUGUCUUUCUUUCGAGAGGCGGCGAUGCGUUGGAUGUGGGGACUUGCCUGUUUCUUACGAGACUUCGGCUUCCCUUAAAAGCAUUAGCUAGAGCGCUUCUGUUGACUAGCUGCUAGUGUGAUAAUUAUCUACACUGUGGCCAACGAAGGAAACUCUGCUUCUAAUCGUCUGCUUGCAGACAACUUCUGAUAUCUUGACCUCAAAUCAGGUAGGACUACCCGCUGAACUUAA
rnacentral:misc_RNA from 1 species